rnacentral:tRNA from 1 species
GUGGGUGUAGCUCAGUGGUAGAGUGCCUGCUUAGCAUGCACAAGGUCCUGGGUUCAAUCCCUGGUACCUCCA